ensembl:lncRNA
ACACAGCUGAGGAAGCAGGGGGAGAAAGGAAUUCCUCUAGACCCUCCCUUUUGCAGCUCUUCAUUAAAUUACAUCUGUGUGCUCAUUUUCUGCAGACUUUUUUAUUUCAUGCAGCAUAGGUAGAUGCUCUGAAAAGUGUGGAUGAGAAUCUCAGGCAGGAGCUGCUUUACUGCCACGUUCUUCCAGGGCAGAGAGGGGCUGAGGAGAAGGUACAAAUUAGGCUCCACACUAGGGAGACCUGUGCCAGAUGGACCCAGUCCUUGAAGAGGUCCUCACUCACCUGAGGCUGCUAUGAAGAAAGGGGAGAGAGGGCUGGAUGGAAUUCCCCAGGCAGCUGAUAAAUACAGACUGCAACUCAGUAAACGUUUGAGGAAAGCAAGAAACUCCAGACUUCGCUGCUGUCUUUCCUUAGAAGAUCCUGCUGACUUCAGCUGGAUUUUUACCUGCGAGGGCUGAAGAAAUUCCUGCAUCAUGUGGAUGAGCAGAUUAGCUGAGGAACACACACUGGUAGGAAGAUGCGGAGUAUAUAGGCACAUGUGUUCCACACUGCAAACACUGUGUGAAGAUGAGUGCUUCUCUGCUGGUAUGGAAAUUAUGGCAAGCACCAGAAUCUUAUGUCUCACUUUUUUUUACCUGUAAAGCAAGAACAUCUGAUUCUUGUAGUCUUUUUCUGACUUAUUUCUAAUUUGGCCAAAAUUCAUUAAUAGAUGUACCACACAAUAAUUUGGACUUCAUAUCAUAAGGCAGUCCUUUAGGUAGCGCACAGAGUGGCACAGUGCUCUGGUCCUCUGAAGGGCAGGAUAGCACUCUGCAACUGUUGUAAGUACUACAACCACUAGGCCUUUCAAUAUUCAACAGAUUUCUGUUAAACUUUCCAAAUACAGUAAUGAGACCUGACAAAAAAAUCACAAUAGCAUAGGGGAUUGCAACACAGGGAUGCAGCUUUAUGUCUCGUGGGGUCUGGGAGCUGCAGGGCCCUGGGAGUGCAUGGCUGGAGGCAACAUCUAAGAUCAAGCUGAGGCCUGUGGCACCUGCUGGUACACAGCAUCCUUCCUUCCCCUCUGGUACUGCGAUCCUUGUUUGCAGUUUACUGAUCUAAGGCUGUUUGGUUAAACAAAAGCUGUUAUACCAAUAUAUGGCUGUCCAACUGUUGUGUAAGGUCUGUUGGCAUGCUUGUGUGCUCAUGUAUAUGUAGAUGGUAUGUGUUUCUGUGUGUGAGAGACAAAGAGCUGAACAUCUCUGGAAGGCAAUUAUUUGGAAGUUCCCCAUUCUUUAUGUGAAUAAAAUCUC